rnacentral:rRNA from 1 species
GACGAACGCUGGCGGCGUGCUUAACACAUGCAAGUCGAACGGAAAGGCCCUGCUUUUGUGGGGUGCUCGAGUGGCGAACGGGUGAGUAGCACGUGAGUAACCUGCCCUUGACUUUGGGAUAACUUCAGGAAACUGGGGCUAAUACCGGAUAGGAGCUCCUGCUGCAUGGUGGGGGUUGGAAAGUUUCGGCGGUUGGGGAUGGACUCGCGGCUUUCAGCUUGUUGGUGGGGUAGUGGCUUACCAAGGCUUUGACGGGUAGCCGGCCUGAGAGGGUGACCGGCCACAUUGGGACUGAGAUACGGCCCAGACUCCUACGGGAGGCAGCAGUGGGGAAUAUUGCACAAUGGGCGGAAGCCUGAUGCAGCAACGCCGCGUGCGGGAUGACGGCCUUCGGGUUGUAAACCGCUUUCGCCAGUGACGAAGCGUGAGUGACGGUAAUGGGUAAAGAAGCACCGGCUAACUACGUG